rnacentral:rRNA from 1 species
UACGUAGGGUGCGAGCGUUAAUCGGAAUUACUGGGCGUAAAGCGUGCGCAGGCGGUUUGUUGUGUCUGAUGUGAAAGCCCCGGGCUUAACCUGGGAAUGGCAUUGGAAACUGGCAAGCUGGAGUGUGGCAGAGGGGGGUGGAAUUCCGCGUGUAGCAGUGAAAUGCGUAGAGAUGCGGAGGAACACCGAUGGCGAAGGCAGCCCCCUGGGCCAACACUGACGCUCAGGCACGAAAGCGUGGGGAGCAAACAGG